rnacentral:rRNA from 1 species
UACAGAGGUCUCAAGCGUUGUUCGGAUUCAUUGGGCGUAAAGGGUGUGUAGGUGGCGCCGUAAGUCGGGUGUGAAAUUUCGGAGCUUAACUCCGAAACUGCAUUCGAUACUGCUGGGCUUGAGCACUGUAGAGGCAGGCGGAAUUCCGGGUGUAGCGGUGGAAUGCGUAGAGAUCCGGAAGAACACCGGUGGCGAAGGCGGCUCACUGGCCCGGUACUGACGCUGAGGUGCGAAAGCGUGGGGAGCAAACAGGG